CAACCUCGAGCAUGGUUUGAUUUGGAAGAGUGGUUAACGCGUUUACUUUGCACAAAUGGCAUUUUUGCUUGCCACUGGCGACGUUUCAAUGUAGGAAAAACUCUUUCAGUUGCUUUGGUGCAUUAAACAACCACUUGACGAGACAACAUCCUGAAAUGAUGGAGAUUUGAUUCUCGUUCAAACGUCUAGUUGCGUGGACACUGAAGUACAUGGAGGACAUAUCUGAUUAAAAUGAACACGGAGUUUGCGAUCUGAAGAGGUCAAGGAGACUAGGAUACAUAAUAUUACUGGUAUCUCUGCUCAAAACAACAAAGAAGUUUGUGGCUUGUGGUUCACUUAGAUAACGUAAAGUACGGACGGGUGUCCUUGUUGUAUUGGGGAAAAAUUAAUUUUAAGUCUUUGGCGGGAGACUUUUGUAUGGCUCAUUUGAAGCUCUCUCUAUCUUACUUUAGAUGUCAUGAGAAAUGACCAUAUCAGGCAAGA